GUCUGAGUGGCUCAGUCGGUUGAGUGUCUGACUUCAGCUCAGGGCAUGAUCUCACAGUCCGUGGGUUCAAGCCCCGCAUCGGGCU
rnacentral:tRNA from 1 species